UAUGAUGAUCUUAUACACACAGUUCUCGCGAUUUUCUCUGAGCGCUUUUGAACUACAUGCACUACCAUCUGA
rnacentral:misc_RNA from 2 species